UUCGACCUUCCACGCUCCUCCAACCUUUAAAAACCAGAAAAUGUUAAGUAUGAGAUGAGCAUACAGAGUACACUCAGUGUGGGAACAUGCAAUCAUUGUCCACGUUAAUAAAAUGGUAACACAUAUGAUCCAAUGUAACAUUCAUAAUUGAAAGUCGAACGGUGACAUACCAAGGAUCUUUAUCAUCCUGGACCAAUUAUGCUGGCCCUUGGCGACUAUGAUUGCAAUCAUAACUUUAACAUGUAUAUUGCAUUGCGGCAUACCAAGGAUCUUUACCAUCCUGGACCAAUUAUACUGGCCCAUAGCGAUAUUUAAUUUAACUCACAUAUGGUAAACACAGCAUGUAAUGAAAUAAAUCCCACACCUGAAACUUGAGCUUUGAAAAUUAACUUGAGUAAUUCAAAUCAAUGUCAACGUCUUAAUCGUGCCGCACCUAAUUCCAUAAAAUUAAAUAUAAUUUAAUAAUAACUAAAAAUAAUUACUACAUAAUUUAAUAAUAUAUGUAUAUGUAUAUAUAAUUUAAAACAAAAUAAAGAAGGUAAAUAUACCUUACUGUAUCCAAGCUUGCUCUUAAGUUGAUGGUC
rnacentral:lncRNA from 1 species